GUCCACGCCGUAAACGAUGAGUGCUAGGUGCUGUGGGUAUUGACCCCCGCGGUGCCGCAGCCAACGCGUUAAGCACUCCGCCUGGGGAGUACGGCCGCAAGGCUAAAACUCAAAGGAAUUGACGGGGGCCCCGCACAAGCGGUGGAGCAUGUGGUUCAAUUCGACGCAACGCGCAGAACCUUACCUGGGUUAAAUCCACUAGAAGGCUACAGAGAUGUGGCUUUGCCCUUCGGGGAGCUAGUGAGAAGGUGCUGCAUGGCUGUCGU
rnacentral:rRNA from 1 species